GCAUAUUAUGAAUUGGUGCGGUGGACGCACAGGUAAGAAUUGAUUUAUGAUGCAUAUAUAUAGUGCGGUGGAGCGCACAUGUAAGAAAUUGAUUUAUGAUGCAUAUGUAUUGAAAUGGUGCGGUGGACGCAGUGAGUAUUUAUUUCUGUUUAUGAUGAUGUUUGAAUGUAUAUAUUCUAAAUCCUGCACCCAUAGUUUAUGCUUAUAGUAUUCACCGCAAUCGCCUUCAAGCCCCCUCGUUCUGGAUCCAAGUAGAUGCUACGUACAGUCACGCGGAGUGGGUACACAGGCCAGUCGCCGAGAGUGUUAGUGAGUUCGACUGGUGGGUGACCUUAGAUUCUGUGCACAGAUGAUUGAUGAAAGCACUAGAGCCGUAACUUGUGUGAGAAGGCCGAAACAGGUCACGCGGAGUGACCCGGCAAGUGUGAGAGUGAUAGAUUUGAGCUCUAGUUCAACCGGGCUAAUAGAGGGCCUCCGUUAUUUACUUUAUACACCUGAUAUGAUUUAUGUUGAUGCAUUCAUACCUAUUACUGUUUGAGAUGAUGUCCAUGGCAUAAUUAAAUGAGAAAUGUUGAGAUGAUGUGGCAUGGCAUAAUUAUGAUGAAAUGUUGAGUAAAUUGACUUGAAGUUUGGAGAAUAUAUUGUAUAUUUAUAUUUUACAUUUGGAAAGUAUACAGGUUUUUACGGAGAGGGUUUACAACGUUUUGAGAAAUGUUUGGAUUUGGAAAAGAAUUAUUUACUGACCCACUCAAAUUUUGGUUUUGCGCCCCUCCAGGUUCAGGAAUCACAAAGGUGUGGUGACUACGAGGAAUUUGACGGUGUCUGACAGAUUGGACAAAAUUGGACUCCACCUUCGGUGUAUCAACUAUAAAUUGUACUAAAGCUUCCGUACUGUGUAAAUGGUUACGUCCUCUCAUGACGGCCAGCAUGCCCUCUUGGGACGGGGUGUGUCAGUUGGUAUCAGAGCAUGGUUGCAAUCUUGGACAUCUUGAGAGUUCUAGUGAAUUCCUGUCUAUGAACUACACCGCCUCGUAGUAAGCCACUUAGUUGGAGAAUUUAACUCCCUAAUAUAGCGGUUUAGGGAAAAACUAAGUUAUUAUGGUUGAUUCAGUCUAUUUAAAAAGGGACAUUUUAAGACGGGUUAUGAUCGAAUUUGAUCACCUUAUGAAAUGAAUGAACCUGAGGGAGCGAAGUAACGGUUUAACCAAAUUGGAAAAGAUGUUUCGGAUUAUGCAAAUUAAAAGAAAUUUCCUCUGACAAGGGUCGAGAUACUACCUGGAUUUGGUAUGAAUUUGUAUCCUGGUGGAACAGGAUUGUUAAUUGUUGUCACCGGAGGAAACAGCUGAUUGAGAAAUUAUUUAAGGACUUGUUUAAGGAAAAGUUUAUCCCUCCGGCAUUUAUCGAUGUAGUAAGCAAGAGUUUGCAAAAUGUGAAUCAAAGAAUUGACGAUAAAUGAAUAUUAUAGAAAGUUUUCAGACUUGCCUCGUUCCAUCCAGAUAUUUGAAGAAAAGGUGUCUCCGAGUAAGGAAAUGACCUUGGCACAGGUACAAUUAAACUUUGGGAAGUGUGAAAUUAAUGAAUGUGUUUAUGUGAACAGAGGGGACGCAGAAUUGUGAAUUGUCCCUAGAAUCAGUUGUACUCAACAAUUUUCCAUGAUAUCAUAGUGUCGAUUCAGCAGAGCUAUGGACUUAGUAGUUGGUCGGAUUGACCGUGAGUACAGAGAGAUUUGAUGAGUUAUAUGUCAGCCGUACAGACCAUGAGAAAUGGGUUCGACUGACACAUGAGAAAUUGGUGAGUUAUAGGUUCGGCCGUACCGACCACGCGGAGUGGAUCCACGACCGACGUAUUAUUGAGAUAAGAGUUGAUCAGCCCGUAUUGAUCAUUCUAGUUGACCGGCUGAUAAUAUUUCUUAUUAUAAUGUUAUACUUUGAGUGGUUGCUAUUAUCGAGACAACGGAUGAUUAUCAGUAUUGCGGGCUGCAGACCGUAAUAUUAAAACUCAUUCGUGGAUUGUUAAGCAAGCAACCGGAAAUUACCAAGUAGUAUUUGUUCCUUAUUCAGAAUGGCUGUAGUAAUAAGAGUAUAUAUUGGUCCAGUUAAUUCUGUUCCAUUAGAUUGGUUGGUUAUAAUUGUGGACAGAGACGAAAUGUUACGGGAAACCAGUAACUUUCAAUCGAUCUGGAUGACUAAAAAGAUUACUUUUGUAAGUAUGCAAAGUGGAUUGAGUCAGGCCGUUUUUAUGCCUGUGAGAGCAAAAAGGUUGUUUUCGAAAGGCUGUCCAAAAAAUAACUUAGUUCCUGUGGUACAAAGAAUGUUGCUCCGAGAAGUGUGAAAAAUGAAAAAAGGUUAACUUUUCUUGAUGUCUUCUGAAAGUAUACCUGGAUGCAUUCAGGCAAGAGUAUGAAUUCCACUAUUGAUUUGUUGCCAGGUAUAAAUUUAUGUAAAGAUUGUUCAUGAUGAGUUAAGGGAAUUGGAAAUUCAGUUGAAAGAAUUGGUUUGAUAAAAGUUUUAUUCAACCUAUACAACACUUGAGGAGCCCCAGUUUGUUUGGUGAGGAAGAAAUGAUUUAAGAUGUUCAUUGAUUAUAGAACAUGGAGUAGGGUACGAUUGAGAACCGUUUCCAUGUGAGUACGAUGUUUAUAACCAGCUCAGAAGUAUUGCGAAGAUUCAAAGAUUGAAUUGAGAUCUGUUACUAACCAAUUGAAUAUUAUGAAGUGACGUUGAUCAUAAGAUGGUUUUCUGGACUUGUUAUGGUCCUUAUAGUUUGGUGAUGCUAUGUGGGAUCUCAUGCGGUUUAUGAGUGAGGAUGAAGUAUUCCAAUAAUACCUUGAUAAAAUUGAUAUCAUUUUCAUUGAAGAUAAUUCUGGCAUAUUCUGAGCCCAGAGCAGAGCAUGUCGUUAAAUAAGCGUGGGAAACAAAGAUUGAAAAUGUCGAUUGUAUGCUAAGUUUAGCAAAUGCGAAUGUUGAUGAAUCAAACUGGCAUUCUGAAAUUGGUUAUGUCUGGCUAAGUAUUCAAAAUGAAUUCUAAAAGGCAGGCAGAAUUGAGAAAUUGGAAAACCAGAAGCUGUAAUUGAGAUUCGAAUUUUCUUAGCUUACAGACUUGGAUUUGUAUUGAAUAAAUGUUAGGGUGAUUGCAUAGCGUUUCAUCGACAAAUGGAAUCUCAUGAGAUGAAUAACCCUACUGGUGACUUGGAGUCAGAUUACAUUCUUCUGUGAAGUUAUGAAGGCAUUAUAUUUGGUAAGAAUGGCAAGAUUUUACCGAUCCAAAGUCUUCAAUAAUUCAUUACUUGGAAGAUUUUUGAGAUAUGAGGCACGAAAGUGAAUUGUAUUUUAAAUGACAUGAUUGUACGAUCAGGGUGAUUCGUAGAAUUGUUCUAGCUGAAGCACUUGGUGAGAAGACUACAGUAAGAUUAAAUGUCAGGAACGCUUGCCAAGAUUAUCUUCUCGUGGAUUGAAAAUCAAUUAAAAAAAAAGUUAAGAAUGAGAUCGAGAAGAAGAGUUUAUACUUGUUAUUUUCAAGUUAAGGCCUGUUUUGUAAGGUCGUACUCGAAAUUUAAAUGUUUGACAGAGGAAAUUUUAAAAUUACCAAGGCAGAGAAAGAAGGGAAAAAGAAUGAGUACAUGAUUCGUGAAUCAAAUGGUAGUGGAUACAGAAAACAAAAAGUAUGUGCCUAAUGCUGAGGAUUUGAAGCAAGCAAAUAUGGACGAAUUCACUUUCAACUUCGCAAUAUUCCAAAAGUAAUAAGAUUAUCAUACCAUUCGACAGUUUUAUUUGGUCAGCAAUCAGGCAGAAAAAGAUAAGACCUAUUGGAUGAGAUAACUAUUUCUGUUUCGCAGUGGAAUGGAAAGAUAUUACUUUGGAUUAUGUGUACAAGUUCUCCUUGUACAUAGGAUGGUUAUGAUUGAAUUUGAGCGAUAGUUGUCAUGUACCAAUUUAGUACAGAUUACUCCCAGUGCUGAGUAAUAACUUUUUUCCGCAGACAGGACAACGUAACUUAUUUGUUUUAUGGACAAGAAGAAUUGGUUUACGGAACUGCUGAGUUCUUAAGUAUGUUGGUUGUGCUCCGAAGUAACGCCAUAAGGACUAUGAGAUGUGUCAUGUUGAGUCGGUUUUUGUUGACUUGUGAAAUGAAAUGCUUCUGAAUAGAAAGAAAGAUCCGAUCAAGAAAGAGUUUUAGUUAGACCCUGUAGACCUAUGGAUGAGUCUCCUCGAAGUAUUCAGGUGAUUAAGUUAACCUGAAAAGUAAACCAAGGAAUGCCAAAAGAGAUUAACAGAGGGAAUAUGCCACCUAAUCAAGGUGUAUAAGACAGAUGGUUUUAUAUUUUCGAAGUUUUACCUUGGAAAAGUGUGAUUCGUCUGGAUAGGAAGGCAAGUUAAAUCCUAAGUGAACCGAAUUUUAUGUGAUCAUCGAAAGGUUUGGUGAAGUUGAAUACGAUUUUAAAUGGCUUCCAGAGUUGUUCGUAAGUGCAUGAUGUGUUUCAUGAAUUAUAAUGUUGGAAAUUUCACCAUGAAAGAAAAGCAAAGAUUUGGAAAAGGAAAGACAAGAUAAAGUCUUAGACACCUCAGAUCGAUUUGAUCACUAAGGAAUGAUGAAAGUGCAUACAAGUGUGAUGUCUUCAGAGUUGGCUAAGGAUGCUUAAAUUUUGGGUUCGAUACGUUGUCACUAGGUGGCAAAUUCGUCAGCAUGAGAUCCUGAUGCAACUAUUGAGAAUUAAUUGGAUUCGACUUGAUAAGGACGAAGGACGACUUUGGAUUGGAAAAAGAGGUCCUGAGAAAAUUAAGACAGAGUAAGUGGUAAAAGCUUUGUGAAGGAAAUCAUUCAGUGGAAAAUUAUGUGGGAGGAAAAGAAUCGGAUGAGAGAUUUUUAACCGAAGCUAUUGUUGGAGUAUGGUUGAUUUAGUUGGUUGCUGGAAUUUCGGGGACGAAAUUCUAUAAGGAGGGAAGAUUGUCACAGCCCGUCCCGGAAUUUUAAUUCCAAGGACGUGAAAAGACCAAAAUGCCCUUAAGCGGGACUAAGGGACGAAAAUUUAACAAUUGGAUUUACAUUAGUAUGUUUAAAGUUGUGUUUGGGAUUUAAGUAGGGCGUCCUACCCUGAUUCCCUCCCCAUUUCCCGUAUGUACUCUCUCUCUUCCUCAGACCUCACUUUCUCUCUCCCUCUCCUUCGAACUCACACGGACCACCACAAAACCACCCUAAAUCUAUACCAACGUCAAGUUUGAGACCACCAUUGGAAUCCUGAGGACUUCACGAUCACGUUGGUAUCCAUUUCAGGUAAGUUUUGCUUAGGAAAACCCCUAGUUUCCAAGUUCCCGUGAAGAGCACUGUUCAUGAUCUUCGAAUUGGCUUUGUUUUAGGUGAAACCAAGCUCACAGUGAGCUUAAGGAAGUCCCAAGGAAGCUCGGAGUGCUUCGUUGGAAGUUUUUGGACGUAAGAACACGGAGAUCGACAAGUUUAAAGUUUGGCCGGAGCUUUCGAGGCUCUUUCCGGCGAAUCCCCGGCGAGUUAGGAGUUGAGGUAGGUAUCAAUCUCUUCGUCUCGUCAAGUACUACAACUUUCCUUUUUGUUUCACUCAAUUUCGUUGAGUAUUGAAGAAGUUAUACUCAUUUGAAAAAUACCCAGUUUCCGGCGACCUCCGAGGCUUUCGAGGCAGUUUUCCGGCCAAACCACGGCGAACUAGGUGUUGUACAAGGUACCAUUCUCUUUGUCUCUUCAAGGGCUACAACUUUCGUUUUUGAAUCACUUGAUUUCGUUGAGAAAUGACAAAGUUAUGGCAAUUUGAAAAACUGCCCAGAAAACGGCCGCCGGAAAAACCAGUCCGGCGACCCAAGGAAGAAGAUGAUGCGCGUGGGGGCGCGUGGGCCGUGCUUUCCUUGGCGCGUGGGGGCGCGUGCUACAGUAAAAAAAUUAAUCUAAAAAUAUGUCGACGUCCGUGACGUCGAGUAGAUCACCGUGGUAUAUUCAUAUACCCAAUUUGAGCAAUAUAUGAGGAGUUAUUAGCUAAGAAUUAGGUUAUGCGUUAAAUAACGUUAAUUCGGUUAUUUCUCGUAUAGGCGAGGCUUGUACGGACGUUGGGCAUAACUAAGGGAGGCUCAGGAACCUACGACACGUCGAUGUAUUCUGUGAGUGGGCCGUUUUGUUUUCCGUAUAUAUAUAUACUUGACGUUUCCCAGAAAUUGAAUUGAAAUGAAAAUAUGUUUAAAAUGAAAUGCAUAUGAGUUAUGUGGAAAAACGGGAAGUGAAAUACCAUGCAUAGAAUUGAUAUGAAAAGUAUAUAGAAAUGUGAGUUGAAAUGCCAUGCAUGAAUUAAUAUAUGAUGCAUAUGUAUGAAUUGGUGCGGUGGACGCACAGGUAAGAAUUGAUUUAUGAUGCAUAUAUAUGAAUUGGUGCGGUGGACGCACAGGUAAGAAUUGAUUUAUGAUGCAUAUGUAUGAAAUGGUGCGGUGGACGCACAGGUGAGUAUUUAUUUCUGUUAUGAUGAUGUUGAUGUAUAUUGAGCUCAAAUCCUGCACCAUAGUUUAGUGCUUAUAGUAUUCACCGCAUCGCACGCUCGUCUUGGAUCCAAGUAGAUGCUAGUCGUACAGUCCACGCGGAGUGGGUACGACAGGCCAGUCGCGAGAGUGUUAGUGAGAUUCCGACUGGUGGGUGACCUUAGAUUAUGUGCACAGAUGAUUGAUGAGAAAGCACUAGAGCGUAACUUGUGUGCAGAAGGUCGAACAGGUCACGCGGAGUGACUCCGGCAGAGUGUGAGAGUGAUAGAUUUUGAGCUCUAGGUUCAACCGGGCUAAUAGAGGGCCUCCGGUUGAUUACUUUAUUGCACCUGAUAUGAUUUAUGUUGAUGCAUUCAUACCUUAUUACUGUUGAGAUGAUGUGGCAUGGCAUAAUUAAUAUGAGAAAUGUUGAGAUGAUGUGGCAUGGCAUAAUUAUGAUGAAAAUGUUGAGUUAAUGACUUGAAGUCUUGAGAAUAUAUAUGUAUAUUUAUAUUUUACAUUUCUGGGAAAGUAUACAGGUUUUACGGAGAGGGGUUACAACGUUUU
rnacentral:lncRNA from 1 species